UACGGAGGAGGCAAGCGUUUAUCCGGAAUUAUUGGGCGUAAAGCGUCCGCAGGUGGCACUUCAAGUCUGUCGUCAAAGACUGGGGCUUAACCCUGGAAAGGCGGUGGAAACUGAAGCGCUAGAGUGCGGUAGGGGUAGAGGGAAUUCCCGGUGUAGCGGUGAAAAUGCGUAGAGAUCGGGAAGAACAUCGGUGGCGAAAGCGCUCUACUGGACCGCAACUGACACUCAGGGACGAAAGCUAGGGGAGCGAAUGGG
rnacentral:rRNA from 1 species